GAUGAACGCUGACAGAAUGCUUAACACAUGCAAGUCGAUGGGGAAGUGGUGCUUGCACCAUGGUAACCAUGGCGGACGGGUGAGUAACGCGUAAGGAACUUACCUGCGGGACCGGGAUAACAGCAGGAAACUGCUGACAAGACCGGAUAAGGUCAUUAAGCUGCAUAGCUUAGUGAUGAAAGGAGACGCCUGCGGAGAGCCUUGCGUCCUAUUAGCUAGUUGGAGGGGUAACGGCCCACCAAGGCGAAGAUAGGUAGCCGGCCUGAGAGGGUGGACGGCCACAAGGGGACUGAGAUACGGCCCUUACUCCUACGGGAGGAAGCAGUGGGGAAUAUUGGACAAUGGGGGCAACCCUGAUCCAGCAAUUCUGUGUGCACGAAGACGGUUUUCGGAUUGUAAAGUGCUUUCAGCAGGGAAGAAGGAAGUGACGGUACCUGCAGAAGAAGCGACGGCUAAAUACGUG
rnacentral:rRNA from 1 species